rnacentral:SRP_RNA from 1 species
GGCUGGGUCCCGCGCAACGAAAACUCGUGAAUCUGGUCAGGCCCGGAAGGGAGCAGCCAUAAGCGUUGUUUUUCGUGUGCCGCGGGGUGCUCAGCCACC